GGAGUCUAACAUGUGCGCGAGUCAUUGGGCGGCAAACCCAAAGGCGGAAUGAAAGUGAAGGGAAGCCCUGCUUUCUGAGGGAGGAUGGGCGUGACAUGCCGACACGGCGGCGCCCCGCACUCCCAGGGCGUCUCACACUCAUUGCGAGUGGAGGCGCACCUAGAGCGCCCACGUUAGGACCCGAAAGAUGGUGAACUAUGCCUGGUGAGGACGAAGCCAGGGGAAACCCUGGUGGAGGUCCGUAGCGAUUCUGACGUGCAAAUCGAUCGUCGGAGCUGGGUAUAGGGGCGAAAGACUAAUCGAACCAUCUAGUAGCUGGUUCCCUCCGAAGUUUCCCUCAGGAUAUCUGGUGCCCAGGUGAGACGAGUCUCAUCCGGUAAAGCGAAUGAUUAGAGGCCUUGGGGCCGAAACGACCUCAACCUAUUCUCAAACUUUAAAUAGAUGAGAACUCCGGCUUGCUCAAAUGUGAAGCCGGGGACUCGGAUCAGGGUGCCCAGUGGGCCGAUUUUG
rnacentral:rRNA from 1 species